CCGAGUUUACAACUCCCAAACCCCUGUGAACAUACCACUUGUUGCCUCGGCGGAUCAGCCCGCUCCCGGUAAAACGGGACGGCCCGCCAGAGGACCCCUAAACUCUGUUUCUAUAUGUAACUUCUGAGUAAAACCAUAAUAAAUCA
rnacentral:misc_RNA from 1 species